GUGUUGUAGCUCAGUGGCAGAGUGCUUGCCUAGCAUGAGUGAGGCACUGGGUUUGAUCCUCAGCACUGCAUA
rnacentral:tRNA from 1 species